GACGAACGCUGGCGGCGUGCUUAACACAUGCAAGUCGAACGAAGUGGCGAACGGGUGAGUAACGCGUAAUCAACCUCCCCUUCAGAGGGGGACAACACUUGGAAACGACUGCUAAUACCGCAUACUGAAGGAGGGGUUUGCGUCGGAUUAGCUAGUUGGAGGGGUAACGGCCCACCAAGGCGAUGGUCAGGAGCCGGGCUUAGGUGAUGAACGACCAAAAUGGGAAUGGGAAACGGCUCCAACUUCUACCGGAGGCAGCAGUUGGGAAUCUUCCGCAAUGGACGAAAGUCUUACGGAGCAACGCCGCGUGAGGGAUGACGGCCUUCGGGUUGGAAAGCUCUGUUAAUCGGGACGCGGUACCGGAAUAGAAAGCCACGGCUAACUACGUGCCAGCAGCCGCGGUAAUAC
rnacentral:rRNA from 1 species